rnacentral:misc_RNA from 1 species
GAUGAAGAACGUAGCGAAAUGCGAUAAGUAAUGUGAAUUGCAGAAUUCAGUGAAUCAUCGAAUCUUUGAACGCACAUUGCGCCCGCCAGUAUUCUGGCGGGCAUGCCUGUUCGAGCGUCAUUUCAACCAUCAAGCCCCAGGCUUGUGUUGGAGCCCUGCGGCUGCCGCAGCCUCCCAAAACCAGUGGCGGGCUCGCUAUCACACCGAGUGCAGUAGUUUACUCUUCGCUCAGGGCGUGUGGCGGGUGCUAGCCGUAAAACCCCCAACUUCUCAAGGUUGACCUCGGAUCAGGUAGGAAUACCCGCUGAACUUAAGCAUACAAUAAGCGGAGGA